rnacentral:lncRNA from 1 species
ACAAACAAAAUUACAACCCACUUGUCUUUUAACUUGAGAAGCUUUAGAAAUUGAUAAGGAAAGUGAAUUGAAAGUUCAACUAGUAACUCUGCUCCUGAAAAAUGAAAAUCCAUAUCAGUAAAUAAGAUCAAAACAAUAAAAUGCAUUCAGAAAAAUCUUGACGACUUUACGAUGUUCCAGAACACGGUAAACUUACAUAUUUUGAUUUCAAUAAAUUAUCUUUUGCUUGGGUACAGAAAGAAGAAACCACAUUUUAUCAUAAAUUGGAGUAGAGUAAUGAAGAAAAUACAUACUUCUUGUAAAAAUUGAGAAAUUGAGGAGAUCGACUCCAUUGCAGAGAAAAUACAAGAGGUUAAAAGAACUAUUGCAAUUGACAUAGAAGAUGAAGAUGUUGAGACAGAAAUAUCAAUCAGAAACACCAAAAAGUUUGGAGAUGACACCGAUUACAUAAUAACUUAUAAAAGAGUCAAAAUUGAAAGGAAUUAGGAGAUUUUUAAGUAUAAAGAUUAUAAACUCAAAUAUUUUCGUUAAUAAGGUUCAACCAAUUGGCUGUGGUAAAGUAAUGCAUCGUUUAUGACAAUAAUGCUCAAUAUAUGUGUAGCAACACUUUCCCUAAAUACAAGACUUUAAUGCUAGACAUUAUGCAACUGGAUGUCUUCCCCUAUCACGUAGAUACUGGAUCCUAUCCACGCAUACUCAGAAAGAAAUUUGUGGCCUUUGAGUUGGCAGGAUACUCAAUUGAUGUUAUGAAACACAAUGCAAGAACCAAAUAUUUCACAAGGAAUGUAAAACUAAUGCAUAAUAUGGUACAGUAUUAUGAAGUUUCUUGUACUUCAACAAUAACAACAGCAUACCCAGUGUAAUCCCACUGGGUGGAGAUCUGUAUAGGGUAGAGUAGAGUAUACAUAGACCUUACCCUCAGAGAUACAGAGGUUGCUACAAACACACACUCGAAAUCUAUAUGCACAUUGAAAGUUCCUGCUUCAACUUUACUUCCUCUUUUGGUAGCCGGUAUUCGAAUAAUUCAACUAUUGAGAUCAAGAUCUCAAAUGUACCGUGCGCAAUUAAGAAGGCACAUAAGAAGUUGUCAAAUCUCGUUAUUUAAUUUGUGACAACCUGAGAAUAUCAGAAGAUAGAUAAUCUGUUGACGAAGAAUCACAUUGGGGGUAUCAAGUUCUUCAAAUCUAUGCACGCAACCAAGAAGGCGUUUUUGAUUACUCUGAGAGUGUCGACUUCACUGUUGAAAAUUUAUAGGUGGAUCCGCUUUAUUGAUAAUCCUCUUCUUUGUGUGAUGUUAAUCAGUAGGUAACUGGUGCAAAGUUGUUUAGAAAAGGAGCUUUAUUGAAUAUUAGACAACCGAAUAGGACCAUGAUAUUCUCAAGUUUCUAAUUGAG